rnacentral:rRNA from 1 species
UACGUAGGGUGCGAGCGUUAAUCGGAAUUACUGGGCGUAAAGCGUGCGCAGGCGGCGCGUUAAGACAGGUGUGAAAGCCCCGAGCUUAACUUGGGAAUUGCGCUUGUGACUGGCGUGCUGGAGUGUGGCAGAGGGAGGUGGAAUUCCACGUGUAGCAGUGAAAAUGCGUAGAGAUGUGGAGGAACACCGAUGGCGAAGGCAGCCUCCUGGGCCAGCACUGACGCUCAUGCACGAAAAGCGUGGGGGAGCAAAACAGG